UGCAAAGCUCAGAUGGUAGAGCAUGAGAUUCUUAACCUCAGGGUUUUGGGUUCAAGCCCCAUGUUGGGCAA